UACAGAGGUCUCAAGCGUUGUUCGGAUUCAUUGGGCGUAAAGGGUGUGUAGGUGGCGCCGUAAGUCGGGUGUGAAAUUUCGGAGCUUAACUCCGAAACUGCAUUCGAUACUGCGGUGCUUGAGGACUGGAGAGGAGACUGGAAUUCAUGGUGUAGCAGUGAAAUACGUAGAGAUCAUGAGGAAGACCAGUGGCGAAGGCGGGUCUCUGGACAGUUCCUGACACUGAGGCACGAAGGUCAGGGGAGCAAACGGG
rnacentral:rRNA from 1 species